CCGGGGUGGAGAUGCUGGGAGGGGCGGCAUUGGUCCGCUGGUUGCUUUGGCUCCUGCUGGGAGAGGCUCUGCCUCCUCUGAUCCUGCCCACCGCCUGGGAAGGACACCACAGGAAGGAAGGAGAAGGCAGUGGCUGCUGGGCCUCUACUAUUGGGAGUUCAGAAAGAGGAGGCAGCAGUGAAGAAGAAAUACUGCUGAGGACGAGGUUACGUGCUGUGAUGGCCACGCAGCAGGGUGGCCUGGCUGAGUGUGACGGGGCACCUUUGAGGAGAUGGCAUUCAAACUGUUGUAAAUCUCUUGAAAUAAUCUAUUGAAUAAUCUGCUUAUUCUCCAUUUAUUUGAAAUGCUACCUUUAAAAUAUACUAAAUUUAUAUAUGUAUAUAAGAUGUGCACAUAUAAUAUAUUCACACACAUACAUACAUGCAUGAGUUUAUUUUUCUGGAUUCUGUUCUAUUGCUCUAUUUCUACUAUAGUAACACACUAUUUGUUUUAGAAUUUAUUUUGUUAUUUUAUAAAGAA
rnacentral:lncRNA from 1 species